rnacentral:rRNA from 1 species
AGGAUGAAGAUAUAGUCCAUGGAUCCUAAAAGUGAAGCACUACAGGUGGCGAUUGGUUCGCUACUCGGUGAUGGCCAUCUAAAAGGCCUGUCGAAGAGGAAGUGUGAGUCUCAACUCUAUGUCUCACAACAUCAGAGUAAACUAUCAUAUCUUCAGUGGCUUCACGAUAAAAUGGCAGAUAAGUUCGCAAUGAAUAACAUUCUGCCGAAAAAAGGUUAUGAACAAAGCUACUUCAUGACCAAGCCCAAUCAGACUUUAGGUUGGUUGACGCGACAGUUUUACGUCGGCAGAAGGAAAAUUGUUCCUCUAGCCAUCGACGAAUUGCUUGUGUCUCCCUUAAGUUUGGCGGUUUGGUUUAUGAACGACGGAACUCUAGACAAUAGAGCCAAGGAACACUUCAAUCCGAUGAUCGCUACAUAUAACUUCUCCUUUGAUGAAUGUGAGAAGCUUAAGAAGACGAUGAGUGAUAAUUUCGGCAUUGACUGUUCGGUGACCCGGUGUCAGAUGAGAGGCAAGGUUUAUCCUCGUCUCUACAUCAGAUCGAAGUCGGCAAGAAAAUUUCUAGAGAUUGUUAAACCUUUUAUUCAGCCUGUGUUUAUGUACAAGGUUGGAGUAGGAUCGGCCAGCAGUAGCGGUAAUACGUAGGCCCCGAGCGUUAUCCGGAAUUAUUGGGCGUAAAGUGCGCGUAGGUGUUUUUGUAAGUCGGUCGUUAAAUCUUCGAGCUUAACUCGGAGACCGCGAGCGAUACUACAAGAAUUGAGUUUUGCAGGGGCUAGCAGAAUUUCUGGAGUAGGGGUGAAAUCCGUUGAUACCAGAAGGAAUACCAAUGGCGAAGGCAGCUAGCUGGGCAAUAACUGACACUGAGAGCGCGAAAGCGUGGGGAGCAACCGGGAUUAGAUACCCCGUUAGUCCACGCCCUAAACUAUGUCUACUAGCGAUAGGAAGAGUCGACCCUUUCUGUCGCGAAGCUAACGCGUCAAGUAGACCGCCUGGGAAGUACGAUCGCAAGAUUAAAACUCAAAUGAAUUGGCGGGGGCUCGCACAAGUGGUGGAGCAUGUGGUUUAAUUCGACAGUAAGCGAGCGUGAGCUGUGAGGUUAAGUCCUUAAACGAACGAAACCCUUGUCCUAUGUUGGAUUUUCAUAGGAGACUGCCCUGGUAACAGGGAGGAAGGUGGGGAUGACGUCAGAUCCGCGUGGUCUUUAUGUCUGGGGCUACACACGUGCUACAAUCCUAUCGACAAUGGGUUGCCAAGUCGCAAGACGGAGCUAAUCCCAUCAAAAGAUAGGUCAGUUCGGAUUGGAGUCUGCAACUCGACUCCAUGAAGCCGGAAUCACUAGUAAUCGUGGAUCAGCAUGCCACGGUGAAUACGUUCUCGAGCCUUGCACACACGCCCGUCAAGUUGGCCGAAUCGGUAACACCAGAAGCGUCAGGAUAACCUGGCACCAAGGUGGGAUCGGUAAGGAAAGCUAAGUCGGACGAAAAUGAACAAGGUAUCGCUAGGGGAAUCUGGCGAUGGAUCACCUCCUU